UACGUAGGGACCAAGCGUUGUUCGGAUUUACUGGGCGUAAAGGGCGCGUAGGCGGCAAUUCAAGUCAGCUGUGAAAUCUCUGGGCUUAACCCAGAACGGCCAGCUGAUACUGCUUUGCUAGAGUGCAGAAGGGCAAUCGGAAUUCUUGGUGUAGCGGUGAAAUGCGUAGAGAUCAGGAAGAACACCGGUGGCGAAAGCGUUCUGCUAGGCCUGUACUGACACUGAGGGACGAAAGCUAGGGGAGCGAAUGGG
rnacentral:rRNA from 1 species